AUAUUGGGCAAUGGUCGCAAGACUGACCCAGCCAUGCCGCGUGCAGGACGAAGGCCCUCUGGGUUGUAAACUGCUUUUGCAGGAGAAGAAAAGUCAGUUUGCGAACUGAUCUGACGGUAUUCUGCGAAUCAGCCACGGCUAACUACGUGCCAGCAGCCGCGGUAAUACGUAGGUGGCAAGCGUUGUCCGGAUUUAUUGGGUUUAAAGGGUGCGUAGGCGGAUGAUUAAGUCAGGGGUGAAAGACGGCCGCUCAACGGUCGCAGUGCCUUUGAUACUGGUUAUCUUGAGUGCAGACGAGGUCUGUGGAAUGGAUGGUGUAGCGGUGAAAUGCUUAGAUACCAUCCAGAACACCAAUUGCGAAGGCAGCAGACUAGGGUGCAACUGACGCUGAGGCACGAAAGUGCGGGGAUCAAAC
rnacentral:rRNA from 1 species